AUGUUAUGUUAGAGCCCUAAAGAUGUUUGUAUAACAAAAGCCUUUUCACUUUGGUGUUUCAAAUAUUACAACGAGUAGUCGUGUGUGCGUUCGAUCGAGAUCCUUACUAACUUCGAGGUUCUUUCCCUAAGCAGUGAGUAGAUUAUUCAAGAUGACCACUGAUCAAAGAAAUGAAAGAGAUGACCCUGAAGAGAGCAACGGAGAUCUUUAUAUGUACCUGUAUGAUGUACCGAGCUUGCAAGAAAUAGCGUCUCAUGUAAUAGUUCAAGAAAUAUGGCACAGAAAUCUAUCAACAUAUCAUCCUAAUGAUUAUUCAAGAUGACCACUGAUCAAAGACAUGAAAGAAACGACCCUGAUGAGAGCAACGGAGAUCGCUAUAUAUACCUGUACGAUGUCCCAAGCUUGCAAGAAAUAGCGUCUCAUGAAAUAGUUCGAGAAAUAUGGAACAGAAAUCUAUCAACAUAUCAUCCUAUCAAAGGUGAAGAAAUGAAUGUCAUCCCUUGUAGUAAAUUCCUCGAGUACUGUGACGAAUAUGGAUGCCAACAACAGCAGGCAAGAGAAAUGAUAACGCAUCUGAAAGUUCCUCGUCGUGUUGAAGAAAAGCUCAAAAAUUCCCUUGAAAAGUUGUGUAAAGAGAUAACACGUUGGGUUGAGCAUCUUCUGCAAAUAGUAUUUCGCCAUAAAAUAUGGCUGAAGGGAAGUGACGAAAUUCGGUGCAUUGAUCCAAAAUGGUGUAUUUGGUCAAUGCGUGACGAAAUCAACUAUGAAAAAAGCGCGAGGAAAAUUCUACAGAUUGGCAGUUUGACUGAUUUGCAGAAAUUUCUCAUCAUGUGCGAAUAUUGCAUGGAAGAUGAGAUCGAAAAAUUUUCGUUGGACUUGCUGCCAUCUGAAUUCAUCGAGAAAAUGACAUUUUCCAUUAAUAAUUCUUGUUUCUAUUGGAUUUGUUUUCUAAAAAAUGAACUUCAUAAAAUUCCGAUUGAAAAUCCCCUUCUUGCCGAUAUCAGAGAGGGGAGGGAAAUCCAUACUAAUUGUAGGUUCAGCACCAAAUUUUUCUGGGAUCGUUUAAGCGAUGAUGAUCAAGUAAAAGUAGCUGUUGGUUGGAUUCGUCAUGAGCUUGGCAUGGACUCUACUUUUUUAGAACAAAUCCUUUCGGAAAUGUCAUGGUAUCAACAACAAUGUUUGUUGUCUGAUUUGUCAGAAACGUUCCAGAACAUCAUUAUUCAUUUUGCCACUCGGCCUCGUUCAUCGCGAAUUUCACUGUGGAUAUGGAAACACUUCAAAAAUGAGAUAUCUGUAGAACAAUUUCCCAAAUUCUUUUGUGAUCUGAUCAUCCGUAACACAUCGACAUUUACGUUGCUUGAGAUGUGGGAGACCGCUUCUGAUCAUCAGAGAAAUUCUUUCAUUUUGAACAUGUCUGAAGAGUUCAUUAAUAGUUACAUUAUAGGACAAACUUUUGUGGAUAGUUCGCUAAAGAAUGGAAUGUGGAUAACUAGAAGAAACUUGAUGUUGCAAAAAACAACCCAAGACGUUAUGCCAUGGCACGAUUCAUAUUUGCUGAACAACAUACUGGAUAACAGUUCACCAUGCUCUGAUGACCUACUGAUGUUGAUAAAAUUAGGUAUUGAUUCAUCCAGAUUUGGAACGCACUUACGUAAUUUAUUUCACCAUCAAAAUUUUAAAACGUUUGACGACGAAUUGAAAGCUUACUUUUUGCACGAUGUUGAUGCUGCCCGUGCAUACAAACGGUUGUUCCUAGAGCAUAUAUUCCUGAGAUUUUUUGAUGGACUUGGCAUGUUUACAAAUGUAAAUUUUUGGGACGAAUUUUGUAAUUUUAUUCAGGAUGCUUUUGAAAAUGAUGUAGCACGAGCAUUGAGAGUGAAACGAAGAUUCAUAUCCGAGAUGAAUGCCCACCUUCCUCUUGACCUACAAAGUUACUUUGAUCUCCGGCGUGGUUUUGAUAAUCUGGUGAAAAUCGUUGAAGAGGUGUUUCAAAACAACAAACUGAGACGUGUGAAAUAUUCUUUUUCUAAGACUUUUCGUUAUUACAAGUGGAGACGUUCCUUUGUGUAUUUUGAUAAAAAGUUCAACUCGAAGUUUAAGCAGUGGUGUUCGGUAGUUCGCAAUGAUUCAAUUUGGUCUAAUAGUGAUUCAAAUGAUGAGUUUUUGAGCGGUGAUGAAGAUGAGAGUACUUCGGAUGAGGAUUAGGAGGAUAGGAUUUUGGGAGAAAAUGAAGACAACAGGAUUUUGGAUGAAGACGCAGACGGUAUGUGCUUAGUAAUUUGGAUGAAGGCGUAAAUAGUUGAGACGAUUUUGAGAAAUGAUGAGACUGAAUUUUUUGUAAAGAUGAAGGUGGCAGGAUUGAUAUCAAUAUAUAUUAGCUGUGCAUUUUGUAAUGAUAAUCGGAUAUCUUCUAGAUACCCAGUAAAUGGAUACCCAGUAAAUGGAUCCCCAGGUAUACCUGACAUGAAAAUAAUUUAUAUUUCACCAACCAAAACCCAAAAAAAUUAUCACUUUGUACUUGUAUGUAGGUCUAGAUAUGUUACAUAUUAGGUAGUUACCUCACUAAUGUACAUAAGUGUAAUUAAUUAUUCUUAUGAAAUAAACGUUCUUAUCUGGUCA